GACGAACGCUGGCGGCGUGCUUAACACAUGCAAGUCGAGCGAUGAAGUUCCUUCGGGAACGGAUUAGCGGCGGACGGGUGAGUAACACGUGGGUAACCUGCCUCAUAGAGGGGAAUAGCCUUCCGAAAGGAAGAUUAAUACCGCAUAAGAUUGUAGUACCGCAUGGUACAGCAAUUAAAGGAGCAAUCCGCUAUGAGAUGGACCCGCGUCGCAUUAGCUAGUUGGUGAGGUAACGGCUCACCAAGGCGACGAUGCGUAGCCGACCUGAGAGGGUGAUCGGCCACAUUGGGACUGAGACACGGCCCAGACUCCUACGGGAGGCAGCAGUGGGGAAUAUUGCACAAUGGGGGAAACCCUGAUGCAGCAACGCCGCGUGAGUGAUGACGGUCUUCGGAUUGUAAAACUCUGUCUUCAGGGACGAUAAUGACGGUACCUGAGGAGGAAGCCACGGCUAACUACGUGCCAGCCGCCGCAGUAA
rnacentral:rRNA from 1 species